AGUAUCUCUUUGUUUCUUAAACCAAUGCAAUAGUCUCAUCGUCAUAGAAGUAAAAGUCUACUGCUAUUCACAAGUUAGAGUUGGAGUGUAACUGCGUAAUUAUCUCUUUGUUUUCUUAGACCAAUGCAAUAGUCCCAUCAUCGUAGAAGUAGAAGUCUCCUGUUAUUCACAAUUGGCCAGUGUACAAUAUGUUAUGUUAAAACCCAAAAAUAACCUUCAAAGACCCAUUGUGCAGAUUCAAAUUUUUGUUGUUUUAAAGCUAAACUUGCAUAUCCAACUGCCGAAAGACUUAUAAUAAUUACAAAGUAAACUUUUAACAUUGAAAAAAAAUGUAAACAUGACAUUUUCAUGAAAUAGGUCCUUAACUACAAUGAAAAAUAUACAUGAAAAGAGGUUAGUUGUUGGGUUAAACUUGCAAAUGCAGAUGCUCAUAUACUUACAAAAAGUUAACUUUUACUUUGAAAAAAAUAUAAACAUGAAAAAGGGGGUUCAUUAUAUGUCCAUCUUUUAAAAACAAAGGUCUAAUCUUCAAAUCUAAAAUCCAACUCAGAUUUUAAACAAAAUGAAAGACUACUCAUACCAAAAAUGAAGAUGUAGAUGAAGCUUUGAUCUUUGGCCUCCAUUUCGGCUAGNNAUCGAAAUAAAACAACAUAACAUUUAUGAGAAUCCACUACAACAAUUUAUCAAACACAUAAUGUGCGUAUGUAAAACUGAAAUAGAACAACAUAAAAUUAAAAGAGGCAUAAAUUCAACUCAACAAAGAAACAAAGCAAAAAAAUAAAAGUAAUAAACUAAAGAAAAAAUAUAUGAUAGUAUUAAGAAUAUUUUACCGUGAAUAGAUGAAGAAUGUGAAAACAAAGAAGAAACUCCAAUUGUCAUAUGGUCCAGAUUUCAUAGAGAUGAUUUUAGAGAAAAGAUCCAUUCAUCACUAACCCGUGUAGUUCUUCUUCUUCCUCCUCCUGUGCAUUCUUCUUCUACGGUGAGAUUUAGAAAAUAAAGAAGAAUAAACCAUAAAUUUCACAGCAGAGAGAUAGAGAUAGAUAUGAUUAUAAGGAAAUUACUAACCGGUUCUCAGAUGGAUCUUCUUCUUUCUACCGUCUCCCGUCGCUGUUCUUGGCUUUCUCCGUGUCAUUUGAAUAUUUUGAAUAUGGAAAGGCGUAAGAGAGAGAAGAAGAAGAGAUGGAGAAUGAGAAGUGAGAAGAAAGAGAGAAAUGUGUACAGGGUACAGACCAAAGACAGAGAAAA
rnacentral:lncRNA from 1 species